UGGGGAAUAUUGGGCAAUGGGCGAAAGCCUGACCCAGCAACGCCGCGUGAGGGAAGAAGGUUUUCGGAUUGUAAACCUCUGUCCUUGGGGACGAAGAAAGUGACGGUACCCAAGGAGGAGGCCCCGGCUAACUACGUGCCAGCAGCCGCGGUAAUACGUAGGGGGCAAGCGUUGUCCGGAAUUACUGGGCGUAAAGGGUGCGUAGGCGGUUAUUUAAGUCAGAUGUGAAAUCCCCGGGCUUAACUCGGGUGGUGCAUUUGAAACUGGGUAACUAGAGUGCAGGAGAGGGAAGCGGAAUUCCUAGUGUAGCGGUGAAAUGCGUAGAUAUUAGGAGGAACACCAGUGGCGAAGGCGGCAUUCUGGACUGUAACUGACGCUGAGGCACGAAAGCGUGGGGAGCAAACAG
rnacentral:rRNA from 1 species